UACGUAGGGUGCGAGCGUUGCCCGGAUUUAUUGGGCGUAAAGGGCGCGUAGGCGGUCACGCACGUCCGUUGUGAAAUCGCUCGGCUCAACUGGGCGGGGGUCAGCGGAUACGGCGUGGCUGGAGCAAGCUAGGGGGCAAUGGAAUUCCCGGUGUAGUGGUGGAAUGCGUAGAUAUCGGGAGGAACACCAGUGGCGAAGGCGGCUAACUGGUCCAGAUCUGACGCUAAGGCGCGAAAGCGUGGGGAGCGAACAGGA
rnacentral:rRNA from 1 species